UACGGGGGGGGUAAGCGUUGUUCGGAAUUACUGGGCGUAAAGGGCUCGUAGGCGGCCAACUAAGUCAUACGUGAAAUCCCUCAGCUUAACUGGGGAACUGCGUGUGAUACUGGAUGGCUUGGAUUUGGGAGAGGGAUGCGGAAUUCCAGGUGUAGCGGUGAAAUGCGUAGAUAUCUGGAGGAACACCUGCGGCGAAGGCGGGUUGCUGGGCUGAUACUGACGCUGAGGCGCGAAAGCCAGGGGAGCGAACGGG
rnacentral:rRNA from 1 species